rnacentral:rRNA from 1 species
UACGUAGGUGGCAAGCGUUGUCCGGAUUUACUGGGCGUAAAGAGCGCGCAGGCGGUCGGAUAAGUCGAAUGUGAAAGCCCCCGGCUCAACUGGGGAGGGUCAUUCGAUACUGUUCGACUCGAAGGCAGGAGAGGGAAGUGGAAUUCCUGGUGUAGCGGUGAAAUGCGCAGAUAUCAGGAGGAACACCGGUGGCGAAGGCGGGUCUCUGGGCCGAAAUUGACGCUGAGGAGCGAAAGCGUGGGGAGCAAACAGG